GAUGAACGCUGGCGGCGUGCCUAAUACAUGCAAGUCGAGCGAACAGACGAGGAGCUUGCUCCUCUGACGUUAGCGGCGGACGGGUGAGUAACACGUGGAUAACCUACCUAUAAUACUGGGAUAACUUCGGGAAACCGGAUCUAAUACCGGAUAAUAUAUUGAACCGCAUGGUUCAAUAGUGAAAGACGGUUUUGCUGUCACUUAUAGAUGGAUCCGCGCCGCAUUAGCUAGUUGGUAAGGUAACGGCUUACCAAGGCGACGAUGCGUAGCCGACCUGAGAGGGUGAUCGGCCACACUGGAACUGAGACACGGUCCAGACUCCUACGGGAGGCAGCAGUAGGGAAUCUUCCGCAAUGGGCGAAAGCCUGACGGAGCAACGCCGCGUGAGUGAUGAAGGUCUUCGGAUCGUAAAACUCUGUUAUUAGGGAAGAACAAAUGUGUAAGUAACUAUGCACGUCUUGACGGUACCUAAUCAGAAAGCCACGGCUAACUACGUG
rnacentral:rRNA from 1 species